AUAAUUGCUUGCUGUUAAGAGUCAGCUAAGGAUGCCUGUUGAAAAUAGACUCCACGCCCCCUUCCCUUCGAAGGCUGAUUCUGCAGGUUUGCAAAACGCUGAGCAUAUUUUUUUGUGGUCUCAGUAUUCAGAGCUCAAAGUACAUCAGGUGAAGAACCUGGAAUCUACAAGUUCAAGAGGCAUGGGGAGCACCUUGGGUCUUGUUUUAUCACCUAGGCUGGAAUGCAGUGGAACCUGCUUAGCUCACUGUAGCCUUGAACUGCUGGGCUCAAGCAGUCCUCCUGUUUUGGCCUCUGAAGCAACUGGGACUACAGGUAUUGGCCUGGAGUGAUUCCAAGCUCUCCUGGAACAGGAGGUGCCCCCACUCUGGGCAUAAAUAUCUCUCCCUCAUCCCUCGCAGACAACGAUCUUUGAGUACCAUCCAGUCAUAAUAUAGACAUGGCCAAGGUAACGGAGGUAAACAGAAAACAGGAAAAAUACUAGGCUGUUUGCACUGGAACAUGGUAACCAUGAAAUGAGCAAACAUUUAAUUUUGUUCAUUGAGGUCAACGUGAAAGCUGCUGAAUCUCUUAUAACAACUUUCAGGACACUUGGUGCAUGCCAUUUUGAAACACCUCAAGCUGAGCCUGUUGUUCUGAAAUGUCAGAAUGUUCCAUUCUGGUAAACAUUCAACUUGUAUUGAGUUUUCCCUUUGUGCAGAACCCUGUGAAGUGCAGCUAAAAUGUAUAAGGGGAAUGAAAGAGGAUAAAAUGAAAACUGUGGAAGCCGUGAGUCAGUAGGCAGUGAAAACUAUCCGAGAAGGCUUUCUGCUUUUGGUUGAUUACAGACUGAAUCUAUGACCCAGGGAAAGAAGCCCACCCAUUCUUUGUACGUGUGCCUUAUUUCUGUGGUUCCCUUUUCAAUAUAAGGGGCUGCUGAGACAGUAAUUUUUACAUGUGGAGUAAGGUAAUCUCAGAACAUUCCUGUGUGAGUUUGAGGCAGCUUUGAAUCCUGGUUCCACUGCUAUUACCUCUGCAGCUUUGGGCAGGUUACUUAAUCUCUGUGAUCCUGAGUUUCACAUCUGUAAAUUGGGGGUAAUAAAAGUAUCUAUUUAGGGGUUUAUUGUAAGGACUACAAAGGAAUUAUGAAUCUAAAUUGCUUAGUGCAGCCUGGUCCAAAAAUGUUCAAUGAAUGUUAAGCUAUUAUUAUGGAAAAUUAAGUCGACUCUGGAAAAAUCAAUGAUUUAGGAUUCUUUAGUUUGCUAGUUUUGAAAAUGGCUCAAUCUAGCACAAGCAAGACGGUAUGAGCAUUCUAACACAUAAUAAAUGGAAAGCUGAGUAUGGUGGUAUGCCUAUAAUUCCUCGGGAGCCUAAGGUAGGAGGAUCUCUUGAGCCCAGGAGUUCAAGGCCAGCUUGGGCAACAUAGUGAGAUCCCCAUCUCUUAAAAAAAAAAGGGAAAGCCAAGUACUCAUCUAUUCAUUUACUCAUCAAACAACAUGGAACAUUUUUAUGUGCUUGCCAGUGGGCAAAGCACUGGGAGUGCAGGUAUAAAAGUAACAAUUCCCAUCUUCCAGGAUCUUAAAGACUAGUGGAACAGAUCCAAAAGUAAAGUGACGGCCAGGUGUGGUGGCUCAGCCUGUAAUCCCAGCACUUUGGGAGGCCAAGGUGGGCGGAUCACAGGGUCAAGAGAUCGAGACCAUCGUGGGCAACAUGUUGAAACCCCGUCUUUACUAAAAAUACAAAAAUUAGCUGGGCGUGGUGGCACGUGCCUGUAGUCUCAGCUACUGAGGAGGCUGAGGCAGGAGAAUUGCUUGAACCCAGGAGGCGGAGUUUGCAGUGAGCUGAGGUCGCACCACUGCACUCUAGCCUGGCGACAGAGUGAGACUCCGUCUCAAAAAAAAAAAAAAAAAAAAAGUAAACUGACAAUGACAAUAUAGCAUGUGUACUUAAUAAAUGCAGUUUGGCAGACUUAUGCUUUGAAAACCCAGAGCUUGUGGGAGAAGCAUACUGAAAGGAUUACAUGCUCACUAAAGUCUAAUAUUCAAAUUCCAAAGGAAUUGGCGACGGAAGUCAGGAACACAUGAGAGACUACUUGAGGUCUGGCCUCGGGAACUCUCUUCUUCCCAGGCAGAUGUCAACUUUUGUCUCUAAGAUGAAUGCCAGCCUUGGAUAGGAAUUUUAAAAUUCCUUAAAAAAGCUCUAGGCCAACCCUAUGUGACUCAGGUUCAAGCCACAUUUGCCACCAGGGAAGCCCUAACCAUGUGCCAGAGAUCUGAUGCCUGCCCUUCUACCUGGGAUUCCUCAAUCCAUAAGGUUUAAGAUCGGAACUGGACUCUUCCUUAUAUGUGGGUAAAGACUAGUCCUGGCCCUGAACUCCAUGCUUCUGGAUAGAAUCCUGCUACCUCUCAGAGACUUCACCAAUGACUUCUUUUGCCCUUAAGCUUGUAUUUUUUGUUAACAGCCGUAUUGAUAUUUAAUUCACAUAGUAUACGAUUCACUCAUUUAAAGUGUAAAAUUUAAUGGCUUUAAUAUAUUCCAGAGAUGUGCACCUAUUAUCACAGUUAACCUCAGAAUAUUAUGCAAAAAAAGCCUCCACACCCCAUACCUGUCACCCCCAAAGCUCUCAUCAACCCAGAUCUAAUCUACUUUUCAUUUCUAUAGAUUUGCCUAUUUAUUUAUUUAUUUUGUAAGUUUUAAAAGUCAUGUUUAUUGAAAUCUGAAUUUACAUUCAGUAAAAUUCACCCUCUUAAGUAUAAGAUUUGACAAAUGCAUAGUCAUACCAUAAUCAAGAUGCAGAACAAUUAUAGAAUCACUCUAACCAUUCCCUUCUGCCUCUUUGCAGUCAACUCCUUUUGGAUCCCAAGGAACUCACUGACCUGCUUUUCUAUCAAAAGGGUCAAAUUUUGUCACUAAAAUAAUCUAUGGUACUAUGGAAAAAUUUGCAAGCAUACAAAACACACAAACCAAUUUUUAACAUGAGACACUUUGAAAAGUUUCUUUAGCAUACCAACAAAAUGAAGGUAGCUUAACAUUGUACUACAGAUGUGCAUUCAUCAAAGUCUACCAUUUAAGGAUAUUUAAGAAUAUACUAUAUUUAAGAAUACACAUAUUUAAGAAGAUACUGUAAAAUAACAAUCUUUAGAAGAGUCAAAAGAAUGUGAUUUUAAAACAACUUUAUAAAUUAAAGCACUUUAUAAAGUUGUCUUAGAUAGUUGUAAAAUAGUCAGUCUAGUUAGAAUUAAUGUGUUCUAAAACUGAUCUACUUGAAAAACUAAGAUGAGUUAUAUCUUUGUUGAGUAUGUGAACCAUGAUUAAGGUCUUGCUAUUUGGUGUUAACACUGUCAAGUUACAGACCAUGGCUGGUUCAUAGAAAAACUACUUUAAAUAAUGGAAUUGAAUUCCGCAGAAAUUUUCUAUGGGACCAACUCAGCUAUAGGGCAGAGGCACAAAAUUGUCAAGUAAAUAUUCCUAUAGAUAAUUGAGGCCAUGACAAAAUUCACCCUUAUUACCACUACGAAAGGGACAAAAGAAGCAAAAAUGUCCAUUCUGUAGAUACUAAAGAUUACAUGUUUAAAUACAUCUUAUCUACUUGAAAAGCUUUGGCCAAGCAUGGUGUCUCAGGCUUGUAAUCCCAGCACUUUGGGAGGCCGAGGCGGGUAGAUUGCUUGAGUCCAGGAGUUCGAGAUUAGCCUGGGCAGCAUGGUGAAACCCCCUCUCUACAAAAAUGCAAAAAUUAGCUGGGCAUGGUGGCACACACCUGUAGUCCCAGCUACUCAGGAGGCUGAGGUGGGAGAAUCACCUGAGCCUAGGAUAUGGAGAUUGUAGUGAGCAGAGAUGGCACCACGCCACUGCACUCCAGCCUGGGCAAUGGGGAAAGACCCUGUCUCAAAAGAAAAAAACAAAUAAAAAAAAAGCCUCAGUGAUUCUUUCAAGCCUCAGACCUUGAGCUCAUCAGCAUCUCAAAACUCAACCAAGUCCAGUCAUGUGCCACAACUGAAAAGGAGAUUUGCCUGUGUAUAAGAGGAUGUUAUAGACUGACUUGUAUUUCCCCCAAAUUCAUAUUUUGAAGGCUGAAACCUCCAUAUGACUAUAUUUGGAGAUAGGGUCUUUAAGGAGGUAAUUAAGGCUAAACGAGCUUCUGAAGGGUUGGGAGCCCUAAUCCAAUAGGAUUGGUGUCCAUUACAAAGAGGAAGAGACCCGAGGAAUGUGUGCAUACAGAGAAAAGGCCAUGUGAGGACACAGGGAGUAGAAGCUGUCUGCAAGCCAAGGAGAGAGGCCUCAGGAGAAACCAAGGCUACCAACACCUUGGUCUUGGACUUCCAGCUUUCAGAACAGUGAGAAAAGAAACCUCUGUUGCUAAAGCCACCCAGACUGUGGUAUUUUGUUAUGGCGGCCCUAGCACACUAACAGUGGACUCAUGCAAUAUGUGGCCCUUUGUGUCUGGCGUCUUUCACUUAGCACAUUUUUUUCAAAGUUUAAUCCAUGUUGUAACAUGGAUUAGUACUUCAUUCCUUUUUAUUGAUAAAUAAUAUUCCAUUGUAUAAAUACAUCUCAUUUGGUUUAUCCAUUCAUCAUUUAAUGGACAUUUGGGUUAUUUCCACAUUUUGGUUAUUAUGAAUAAUGUUACUAUGAACAUUCAUGCACAAGUUUUUGUACGGACAUAUGUUUUCAUUUGUCUUGAGUAUAUAUCUAGAAGUAGAAUUUCUAGAUCACAUGAAAACUCUGGGUAUAACUUUGAAGAACUGCCAUACUCUUUCCUGAAAUGGCUGCACCAUUUUACAUUCUCACCAGCAAUGAAUGAGGUUGCAAUUUCUCCACACUCCUGCUAACACUCAUCACUAUCUUUUUAAAAAAUUCUUAUUAUUAGAGCCAUCCUAUCGAGUGUGGCAUGGCAAAUCACUGUGGUUUUGAUUUUUGCUUCCCCAAUAACUAGUGAUGUUAAGCAUCUUUUCAUGUGCUUAUUGGUCAUUCAUAUGUUCUUCUUUGGAGAGCUAUCUAUUCAGAUCUUUGGCUUAUUUUUUAAUGGGCAUUUUGUUUUGUUUUGUUUUUAAUGAUAGAGUCUUGCUAUAUUGCCCAAGCUGGAGUAUGGUGGUUAUUCACAGGUGUGACCAUAAUGCACUACAUUCCAAUCCUUCUGCCUCAGCCUCCCAAGCAGCUGGGACUACAGGUGCAUGUCAUUGUGCCUGGUGGCAAUUAAUUUUUACCUUGUCUUAUUAUUGAGUUGUUAUCACUCUUUGUAUAUUCUAGCUCCAGUUUCUUUAUCAGAUAUAUGACUUGCAAAAACUUUGUUGCAUCUAAUGCGUUAUAUUCUAUUUUCUUUCUUUCUUUUUUUUUUGAGACAGAGUUUCAUGCUUGUAGCCCAGGCUGGAGUACAGUGUUAUGAUCUCAGCUCACUGCAACCUCCACUUCCCAGGUUCAAGCGAUUCUUGUGCCUCAGCCUCCCAAGUAGCUGGGAUUACAGGUGCACGCCACCAAUGCCCAGUUAAUUUUUGUAUUUUUAGUAGAGAUGGAGUUCCACCAUGUUGUCCAGGCUGAUCUUGAACUCCUGACCUCAGGUGAUCCGCCCACCUUGACCUGCCGAAGUGCUAGGAUUACAGGCAUAAACCACCGUGCCUGGCCUAUAUUUUAUUUCUUUUUAUUUAUUUAUUAAAUGUAUUUAUUUAUUUAUUUUUGAGACAGAGUCUCGCUCUGUCACCAGGCUGGAGUGCAGUGGUGCGAUCUCAGUUCCCUGCAUCCUCUGCCUUCCAGAUUCAAGUGAUUCUCCUGCCUCAGCCUCCCCAGUAGCUGGGACUACAGGCACGUGCCACCAUGCCCAGCUAAUUUUUUGUAUUUUUAGUAAAGAUGGGGUUUCACCAUGUUGGCCAGGAUGGUCUCAAACUCCUGAUCUUGUGAUCCACCCUCCUUGGCCUCCCAAAGUGCUGGGAUUACAGGCAUCAGCCACCGCACCCGGCCAAUGGGUCUUUUAAAGUACAAAGGUUUUAGUUUUGAUGAAGUGAAAUCACAUUCUUUCAUUUCUUCUGCUUUUCGUGUCAUCUCUAAGAAAUCAUUGCCAAAUCUAAGGUAAGAUCUACUCAUGUAUCUUCUUUUAAUAGUUCUAUAGUUUUCUUAUAUUUAGGUCUUUAAUUUUGAGUUAAGUUUUUGUAUAUAGUGUAAGGUAGGGGUCCAGCUUUAUUCUUUUGCAUUCAGUUACCUAGCAUUAUUUGUUGAAAAGACUACUCAUUUCCCAGUUGAAUUGUUUUGGCCCUCUACAUGAAAAUCAAAUGACCAUAAACAUGAGGGUUUAUUUAUGGACUCUCAAUUUGAUUCCACUGAUCUAUAUAUCUGUUGUUAUGCCAGCACCACAUUGUAGCGUUGUAGUAAGUUUUGAAAUAAGAAAAUGAAAGUCCUCUAGCUUUGCUCUUCUUUUUUAGGACUGUUUUGGCUAUUCUAGGUCCCAUGAAGCUUGCAAGGCUUUUGAAGGACCAGCUAUCUUUGGUGCCUGGUUCCAGAGUCUAUCUGCAGGCUGAGCAUCUGAGGGUGGCUUGCACGUGUGCCGAGGCUGCCCCACGGGCUAGUCCCCCUGUGCCACUGAAUUAUUCAGUCUGCCUGAAUGGACUUUUUCUAGGUCCUAGAGCUGGAUCUUGUGAAUCCAAAUUCCUGAUGGGUACCUUGUGAGGGAGGAGAUGAAAUUCUAAGUCCAGCUCUCAUAGUGUUCCAAAUAGGGUUGAUGUGUUAGGUCUGAUGGCUUACUCUGAAAUCCUAAGAGUUAUUAAUAAUUAGCUUUGGGCUGGGCAUGGUGGCUCAUGGCUGUAAUCCCAGCACUUUGGGCGGCCGAGGCGGAUGGAUCACGUGAGGUCAGCAGUUUGAGACCAGCCUGGCCAACAUGGCGAAACCCUGCCUCUACUAAAAAUACAAAAAAUAGCCAGGCGUGGUGGCAAGCGCCUAUAAUCCCAGCUACUUGGGAGGCUGAGGCAGGACAAUCGCUUGAACCUGGAAGGUGGUGGUUGCAGUGAGCUGAGAUCAUGCCACUGCACUCCAGCCUGGGCGACAAAGCGAGACUCUGUCUCAAAAAAAAAAAAGAAAAAAAACCACAAAACAACAACAACAAUAAAAAACAAAUAAUUAGCUUUGAUGGUGUCAGUAUAGCCAUGAUGUAGCUGUUGUUUUUGAAUUAUUAAAGUAAUAUAAUCACAUCCUAAAAAAAUGGCAAACAGGGAAGAAAAUUCACCGUAAUCAGAAUUCGCUUGUUAUAGGUUAUAAUGUUAUUUUCGAUUAUCU
rnacentral:lncRNA from 1 species